rnacentral:rRNA from 1 species
CAGUCGCCGCGGGAAUACGUAGGUGGCAAGCGUUGUCCGGAAUUAUUGGGCGUAAAGGGCUCGCAGGCGGUUUCUUAAGUCUGAUGUGAAAGCCCCCGGCUCAACCGGGGAGGGUCAUUGGAAACUGGGAAACUUGAGUGCAGAAGAGGAGAGUGGAAUUCCACGUGUAGCGGUGAAAUGCGUAGAGAUGUGGAGGAACACCAGUGGCGAAGGCGACUCUCUGGUCUGUAACUGACGCUGAGGAGCGAAAGCGUGGGGAGCGAACAGGAUUAGAUACCCUGUAGUCCCUGUCUCUUAUACA